rnacentral:rRNA from 1 species
UACAGAGGGGGCAAGCGUUAUUCGGAAUUAUUGGGCGUAAAGGGCGCGUAGGCGGCCUGGCAAGUGGAAGGUGAAAUCCCUCGGCUUAACCGAGGAACUGCCCUCCAAACUGCUUGGCUUGAGUCCGGGAGAGGUGAGUGGAAUUCCCAGUGUAGCGGUGAAAUGCGUAGAUAUUGGGAGGAACCCCAGUGGCGAAGGCGGCUCACUGGACCGGAACUGACGCUGAGGCGCGAAAGCGUGGGGAGCAAACGGG